UCGUAUAACCGAGGUACUAGGGCUGUCGCUAACUUUGUGCACGCCCUGGUACUCUCUCACAAAAUCCAUCUCACCCCCUUUGUGCAUCACCGCGUGGGUGCUCUCCUUUUGGUUCGUUCCGAAAGGGGGCAUUUGCGUUUUUAUACAAAACCACUGCAUGUGUAGAAUGUCUUACUAUUUGCGAUAAUGCGCAAUCAAUA
rnacentral:misc_RNA from 1 species